UACGGUGGGGGCAAGCGUUGUUCGGAAUUACUGGGCGUAAAGGGCGCGUAGGCGGCCUGUUAAGUCGAACGUGAAAUCCCCGGGCUCAACCCGGGAACUGCGUCCGAUACUGGCAGGCUUGAAUCCGGGAGAGGGAUGUGGAAUUCCAGGUGUAGCGGUGAAAUGCGUAGAUAUCUGGAGGAACACCGGUGGCGAAGGCGGCAUCCUGGACCGGUAUUGACGCUGAGGCGCGAAAGCCAGGGGAGCAAACGGG
rnacentral:rRNA from 1 species